GGCACCGCUUGAAAAAAAUACGAGAAAGCUCAGAAAUGUAAUGAUGUUAACAAUGUGUUAUGCAGCUAACGUUGGAGGGGCAGGAACGCUACCAGCCACCGCCCCAAAUUUAGUCUUCAAGUUUGUUGUAGAGGAUUUAUACCCAAAUUAUGGCGGGGUAAGCUUCACGACUUGGAUGUUGUUCAAUACCCCGGGAAUUUUAUUAUGUGUGGGGAUCAUUUGGUUUCUAACUGUUAUCUUCGUACUUCGGAAAAUGCCUCAAACUUCCACACAUGCACAGCAGUCUCAAGUGAAGAAUUUUAUUCGGUUAAAGUACACGGAACUUGGAAGUUUGACGU